rnacentral:lncRNA from 1 species
GACGUUCUGCUUUUUUAGAUGACUUACCAUUCAAGCCCUAUUUGGUCUCCACAGGCCUUUGCUUCUGAGCACGGGGGAGAUGGGGCUCUGUUACAUGGAUAUCUAAAGAGAUCCUAACCCUUGUCCUGAAUGAUGGAGAGACAAAUAUCUCUAGCCCAGCACCUAGUAAUGUGACUUUCUUUUGCUAAUUGUGCCCUCUGUAUGUAAGAAUUAUCUCAGCCCAGGUCAGAAAAGAGAGUCACAUUACCCAGUUGAUUGAUGCAUGAAUAUUUUGAUAUCUCCCUGGAGAGAAUAGCCCAGGCAGGAGAGACACAUCACUUAUGUCCUUUGCCUAGGUAUAAUUCAUUUUUUCAGAUGAGGUUGGGGCUCUCAUGCACAUAUCCAGCCCACUGUUGACACUGUGACUCAUGUACUUGGACAGAACUCACAAAAGGUGUUGACUUUCAUAUUUGGGACAGGUCACAUGCAAUAUUGAGACUCUCAUCCUUGGACCUUUCUGUGAGUGUUAAACAACAAAUCACUUGGUGAUGCACCCAGGUAAUGUGACUCUCCUGCUUGUGGCCUCCAUACACUGGGCAUUGUGACAUAAGUCCCUUAAGGGACUUACCUUUCAAGCCAUAUUUGGUCUUCACUGGCCUUUGCUUCUGAGGAUGAAGGAGUUGGAGCUUUGUUACAUGGAUGUCUAAAGAGAUUAUAACCCUCACCUUGAAUGACCAAUAGACUGACAUCUCUAGCGCAGCAUCGAGGUAGGAUUGUGAUCUCUGCCUAGGCCCAGCACACAGGCAUCAUGAUGUCUCUCAGAUGUGAAACCACCCAAGAGAAGAGAUUUUGGCUCUCAUAGAUAGAUUUAGGGCACAAGGAUCCUUCAUGAAGAAGAAAUUGUGACUCUUGUCUACAUACUCCGCUGAUAGUAAGGAUUAUCAUUCACCUUUAUGGAAAAAGCCCAUUGUUGAGAUUGUGAAUCUCACACCUGGAGGCAACAGAAAGUUGGAACUGUGAUUCUCAUACAUGGAUUCAGACGACAGCUGGACGAGACAGCUCCAAUUCCAAGCUGCAGCAGCAGGAGCAGCAGCCACGAGACAGCAAAUGCCGGAGCUGUUGGGAGUCAGAGGGUGAGGGGUCUUGUGGGAGGGUCUGCGCAGGACCGCAGCUGUUGGGGCCACGGGGCCAGGCCUGAAGCUGUAGAGGGGCUACCACUUCAAAGGUCGAUAUCAGCACGCAAUCCCCGGGUUUUAUUUUUCCUAUAGUUAAAUUGUAUUCCAUUGUGUGUAUACACCGCAUCUGCUCUGUCCAUUUAUGCCUUGACGAAAACUAAGAUUGAUUCCAAUCUGGGCUACUGUCAAUCGAGCUAUAAUAAACAUGGGAGUGCAGAUAUCUCUUUUAUAUACUGAUUUUUAUUUCCUUUUAACAUACACUCAAUAGUGGAACUGCUGGAUUAUACG